rnacentral:misc_RNA from 1 species
CGGUGGGAAGGCGAAGCUCGUUCGUAAUACAUUAGCAACUCAAUUUCGAUAAUUCGGAUUGACUCGGCGUAAUAGACUAUUCGCUGAGGACACCAAGCAAUUGGUGGCCGAAUUUUGAGGUAGAAGCUUCUAACUCAAUUUGUAGUCAAAUUCUUUUAAGAUUAGACCUCAAAUCAGGCAGGAUUACCCGCUGAACUUAA